AUGUGUUUGAGGCUCUCUAGGGUUCACACUGUGACUUUUCAUCUUCUACACACAAAAUAUGAUUUCUCCUAUCUCUUCUUUGAUUUCAACGGUGCCAAGCCACCUUCUGGAGAACCCUGCCGCUGCGGCCAUUAUCCAUUCCAUUUCUUCUACCUUGUUUUCGCUAUUCAGCUCCUCAAACUUCAUUUAUUUUUAACAAGCUCAAACUUAUCUCUCUAA